GGUGGGGAAAAGCUGAGGACAGGGGGAGACUGAACAUCUGACUCCCAGCAUAACAUCUUGAAUUGUCCUCUCUGAAUAAACCUAUUUUUCUCCCCCUGAUUUUCUUUGGAGUUUGUGUUCAUUGAAGAAUAACUGCUAACAGCACUCAGAGUUUCCCACGCCAGCGAGCUCCGGACAGACAGACACAGCUGUAGACUAUUUGCGCAAAGGAUAAGAAGUAAUCAGAAAAAUGACCAUGAAGGCCUCAGUCUCCUCUGAACAGUUCAUGUUGAGAUGUGUCUGUUACUUGAACUCUGUGAACCAGCAAAGGUGACUACCUCAUGAAGCUGGUUGAGAGAAUGCCAAGAGUAUGCAAAGAUGUCAUCAAGGCAAAGGGUGGCUACGUUGAAGAAUCUCAAAUAUAAAAUAGAUUUUAGUUUGUUUAAAACUUUUUUGAUUACUGUGUUAUUUCAUCGUUUUAAUGUCUUCCCUAUUAUUCUACAAUGUAAAAAAUAGUAAAAAUAAAUAAAAACCCUGCAAUGUGUCCAAACUUUAUAAAGAAAAGGUAAUAUAUUUGUGUCAUCAUUCAACCGGUAAAUAGUGAUUGAGAUAUGAUUAAGGGUAAAAACGUACCCUAUGAGGGUGUGGUGACUGGCCGUAAAGGUGUUUAAAACAACAAUACUUUAUUGAAACACUGACAAAGCGUUUUUCCUGCCAUAGUUUCUGUAUAUAGCUGAGGGAUGGGUCUGGAAUAAAUGGAACCACUCUAAAAUCCAUAGACUAAACCAUGGAAAAAAGGACUGACCAUCCAUGAUAUCAAAACUAUAGUUUUAACCAUGUUUUUAGGAUAUACAGUGUUAUUUUUACAUGUACUGUUUACAAAUACUAGAGUAAAUCUGGAGUUUUCUGACUUGUGAAACUUGUAAAUUCGAAGAAAAAAAAUUCACGUGUGAAAGUGAUAUUUAAAAAGGGGGUGUUAGCAUGUGAAAUCUGAAUGUAGUACAUUUAAGCUCAACAUGUGACAAUUCUGUGGCUCGUGAAAAUGUGAAAAAUGCACAUUUGAUGUGUUUUCUUGUAAGGGAGUCUUUGCAAUUCUACCUUGAAAUCAGCAUGCUUUCUCUAUCUGCCUUUAGUCAUAUAGGGCAAGCUAAGCGGCUGAACAAUUCCUAAAUAAUGCAAUUAAAAGUACAGGCUAUUACAUUGUCCUAAAUUCAUCCAUGGAUUUCAAUAUGCAUUGUGUACAAUUUUCCUAAUUUGAGAUCUUAAUUUAAAUCAUAAGUACACAUAAACCCAUCAUUGUUUUAUUAUUUGUGAAAAACUGAGUUAAACACUCAUGGUCUAAAAUAGGCCUACUGAAAUCGACAAUGAACCUCACAUGGGACAUUCAUUCAUAAUGAUCCCCCUUUGAAGAGGACAUGAUAAGACAGAUCUCAAGGGACAGAACAUACAGCUUUCUUUUCAGAACAAAGAACUGCCUCAACUGAGUCCAUUAUUAAAUGCAAGCUUGUGUUACAUUUCUCUGAGCUGGUCAUCUGACAUCCCUUAUAAUAUGGCCAUUACCUUCUAAGAGGACUACAUUUGGAGUUGAAAAAGCACCGGAAACUCAGAUAUUUUAGUAAAUCAUUCAUUAAUGCCAAUGGGAGAAUAAUUCAAGUAAAGUGCAUGGAACUAAACUCAGAAUACCACCCAGAGAUCAUUUGUUUUUUUGACCAAUGUGAGACUACUCUGGCAGCAGCACACACUUGCUCCUUCAUUGGUUUGCUAUGUCAGCUUUCGGUAUACACUUUUGACUUUCCUCUAUGCUCACUGCAAAUGAUGUCUAAUAGUAUUUGGGUCAAAGAAUAGGCUAGUGCAGUUUGUGAAUAAGUAUGUGGGCACAAUGCUUAGGCAAUGCUGUCCCAAAGGGCACAAAAAUCCAAUGAAAAAGCGCCUUGGAGGCAAAACAUUUAUGUAAAAUGUUUCUCUUAUUGGAUGAUGAGGUUGUUUCCCCAGCCUGUAUCCCUACUGCAUAUAUAUUGUAUGUCACGCGACUGCAUGGUCAAUGGUAUGACAAUAAUAAUGUUUGUGGAGUAACAUCUUUGCUGUUAGCCACAGAUGUUACUGUAUAGCUGAAAUGUACAAUUAAGACAUGAAACAAAAUGUAGACGUUCUGCCACUUGUUCUUAAUUUGUAGACAAUAAGAAGUACUGUACUUCAAAUAAGUACCAGCUUAUUAUUCAAAAACAAACAUUUCAACAAAGCCUCCUGUGAAGAUUAACAGGCAUGUAUGGCCUAUGUUGAAUCAAUUGAAUCUCACUCUACUUUGCAGACUGUUAUACUCUAGUUUUUUGACAGUAAUUAAAAAUACAACUAUUUCAAACAUGGUUUUGAAGUCGAUUGGGUGGUAAAAAACCUGUCAAUCAUUCCGAUCAGAUUGACUACAAUUGAAUUAAGGUAUAUCCUUUGUGGCGUUGUAUUGGAACCAGAGGUCAUGUGGAUAAUUGCUAUUUUCCUGAGCUCUCUGCUUAACCAAGUACAACAUUUCAAUGGGCCAUUAAAAUGCAAAUUGUUACAUUAAUUGUACACUUGGGUGUGUUAACUGCUGAACGCUGCAUUGUGUUUGCCUAGGUAAAUAAAGAACACACAGUUAGAGAUCAUGGCACACUGAUUGAGAAGCUUUAAUUAGACAGUGUUCUAUUACAUUAGAAUUAAAUAAAAGUCUUUACUUUCUACUAUACAUGAUAGACAUGUUUUUCAGAUGUUUUAUUGUACUGUUACAUACAGUGCUUUUGUAAAGUAUUCAGACCCCUCGAGUUCUUCGACAUUUUGUUAUGUUACAGCCUUAUUCUAAAAAU